UAGCCAGAAUACGUAUUUUAUUAGGCAGAGAAAAUACUGUUCAGAAGAAGAAAAAACACCAAAAAUAAAUUUCUGUCACACAUCGAUUCCUCUCACACGGCAUAGGAAGGUCACUAGUGCGUCAAAGAGAAACAAAAACAUCUCCAAUCUACACGUGGAUGACCAGCGGGAGGUUAGAUGGAUGAAAUCACGGCCAAAAGCCCGGCGAGGCUCAGGUGCUGUUCACCCUCCUGUCGUCCUGCGGGUCAAAAUGACCUGUUUUAAAGUUUGAAGAUAGAAUAGAAUAGAAUAGAAUAGAAUAUUCUUUAUUGUCAUUAUACAAUGUAUAAUGAGAUUGCAGAGCUUCUCCUUUACAGUGCAAGGAAAUCUUAAAGUAGUGCAAAAAAAGAUGUGGAGAAAAGAGAUCUUUUCACAGUGAAACUUCUGAUGUCACAAUUUUUGGGAAAUUUUUGAACAUUUUUUGGUGGAAAAGAAAUGUUUAAAAAAAUGUUUCUUAAGAUCAUUCACAAAAAAAUCAACCAAAAUCCAGAGAAGUGGUUUUUUUAGGGGAUUUUCUUUCUCUUUUUUUAAUUUCUUGUCUCGUUUUUGUCCAUUUUUUUGUCGCUUUGUAACUUUUUUGUCUAAUUUUUUGUCUCUUUUUUUGUUUAGUUUGUGUCAUUUUUAGAAAAUAUUUACAAGAAUUUUCUUGCCAAAUUUGGAGACUUCUAAGGGAAACUUUUAAGGAAUUAUUGGAAUUUUCUUCCUGAAGGUUUUUGCAAAUUUUCAGAAAUUUGGGUCUUUUUUUACAGAUUUUUUUGGGAUUUUUUUCAGACCAGGAAACAGUGCCAGUAAAUGAGGACAACAGGAGGGUUAAAGCAGAGCGUGAUGGCCUUCAGUGAGCACAUCUGAGACAGAGUUCCUGAUUCUCCACACCAUGAAGACACGGAGACAAGAGAGGCAGGUGGCACUGGUGUGGUUGAGUCUCUUUUUUUUUCUUUUUCAUUCUCUUGUGACGGGCAAAUUAGCAAACAUGAGGUGUCAGAGUGAACAACAUCAGCCGAAAAGGUAGUAAAUACACAAAGAGGGCCGGGUCCUCUGGAUGGAGAGGAACGUGAGCUUGAAGACCAUGGCUGAGUGAUUAAAUCUCCUGAAAGAGCCGGAGAGAGGGAAGGCAGCUGGGGUCGGAUUUGGCAGCUUGUCGUGACCGGAGCUCUCAGGGACGAUGGGACCCGUUCCACUUUUUUUUCCCCAUGUGAAACAGGAGCCGUUCCAAGGCAGAAAAACCCCGCUUUGACUCAAUGCAACAUGACACAAUCAGACUAGUACACAAACAUGCAGACUUAUACAAAGGCAGAACUUUACAAAGUCAUGCAGAUGGAAUGUUUUGAUAUUUCUGUAGCUGAGUCUGACUCAAGUAUAUUCGGCUGGCUGGCCUGAAGUCUAUUUUUUUUUGAGGGCAUUUAUAGGGAACUACCGUAAUUCAGCCUCGGGGCCAUCGUGACACGCUGGAAAAAUGCAACCAUGUCAGUCUUUUGAUGAGGAAAGAAAGAGUGAAGGGGCUUUACAGAGCUGAAUAUAAAUAAGUCCCUCAGACAUGGUGGUAGUUUCCUUAAAAUUCUAGCCUUGUCUCUUAAGGAGGUAGUCUGACCCAGAAAGAAUUACACAGGACUUCAAAAAACUUCUUUCUCUGAACACAUUGUCAAGAUCAGGGGUGUCAAACAUGCGGCCUGUGGGCCAAAACUGGCCCUCCAGAGGGUCCAAUCCGGCCCUCAAAGUGUAAAAAUUACAGAGAAGAUAUUAAGUGCAAUUUGUAAAGCCAUAAAUUUAAGAUAAUUUCUAGUUCAGGACAAGUUGUUUUGAUCAUAAAGUAAAAUACUAGAUUGUUCUUCUGUCGUUUUAUGUCUCGUUUUUGUAAUAGUUUCUUGUUUUUUUUUACUGACUUGUCACUUGUCUGAAGUUUUUGUUGUUUUGUUGUUUUUCUCAUUUCUCACUUGUGUUGUUUGUCUUAUUUUUAUUAUUUUGUGUUUUGCUUUAUUCACUGUUUUGAUUUUUUGUCUUGCUUGUGUCAUUUGUGUAAUUUCUUGUCUUGUUUUUGUCACUUUAACUUUUAUGUCAAUUUGUUUGGCUCUUUUUUGUUUUGUUUUGUGUUGUUUGUCUUAUUUUUUGUUGUUUUGUGUCUCCUGUUUUGUCUUGUUUUUGUUGUUUUUGUGUCUGACUUUUGUCAUUUUGAUCAUACAGUAAAAUACUAUAUUGUUCAGUUCCAGAUAGCUGUGACUAAAUGUUGUGUUCCUUUGUCGACACUCUGUGAUCUGGAAGUUGUAAUGUGGAAAUGAUAAACUGAGGUAUAAUGUUGAAUUUGAACUUAUUUUUCACAAAAAAUUUCAGGUUGUUCAUGAUGUUUUGUAAAAAGAUAAUUCCUUCAAUGUGAACAUUUUCAAAAUGUGCCUUUUUUGCACUAAAAGGAAAAAAUUGCAGUUGUGGAUAUUUAUAGAUUAUUAUGCUGUGAUUUUACUGGUCACUUGAGAUCAUAUUGGGCUGAAUGUGGAACCUGAACUAAAGUGAGUUUGACACCCCUGGUCAAGAUCAUCCUGAGUACAAACACUUUUUCGAUGAGUCAUGUUGAUUCUUAAAGGAUAGUUUGACAUUUUGGGAAUAACUUUGUUCACAUUUUUUGGUUGAUGAUGAGAAGUUACCACUCAUACCUGAUCUAUCUGGUAAAUGUGAGACUACAGUCACAAUCUGGUGGUUGAAAGAGGUAGCCUGGUUCUGUCCAAAAGCAACAAAAUAAGCCUAUCAAUACCCCUGAAACUCGCUAAUUAACAUGUCGUGAAAAUGUGUUUAAGCCAAUGAUUCCUAACUAAUGUAGAAUGGAUAUCUAGCCUUUAGUCGAAAGCUUCCACAACCUGAGUGAAUAUAUGUGCAGCAGGAAAGAUUCAGUGAAAACUAGCUGCAAGUUACAAAUAAACAGGUUUAAACUAAAAAGAAUGGAUAAAUGAUUAAUCACUUCUUGGUAAAGCUAAUGAGCAACCAG
ensembl:lncRNA